ensembl:snRNA U6 U6 spliceosomal RNA
CCUGUUUCUACAGCACAUAGAUAAAAUUGGAAAAAUACAGAGAAGGAUUAGCGUGGUGUGCUUUCCCAAGGGUGACACGCAACUUGAUGAAACAUUUCGUAUUCGU